UCCCGCUGGAUAUUAUGAACAAGAUCACAGACCUUUGAGUUCUCUCAUCAGGAGAAACUGGAAUUGCUGGGUCCAAAGUAUUUGGGAAGUUUGGAGUGAUUCUUGUUGCCGGGGGAAGAGGGAACUAAGGACGUGUCACUGAACCUUUAGGGGUUCCGGGAUCCCCCACCCAGGUGCCUGCUCCAGCUCCCCAAGCGCGCCUCCCUCCCGCCCCUACCUGUUUUAACCCCUUGUGGCUCCACCCCCGCCUGGCAGCUGGACCUUGCCCGGGGCCUUCUGAUCUCCGAGCUCCAAUUUCAGCCGGAACUGCCCCGCCCCGCCCCUUCCCUGGCAAGAGCACAGAGGAGACCUCUGCUGGGACACUGACCUACAGACCGACGCUGGGACCCAGGACAACUGAGGCGCUGAUGGCCGCGCCUGGCGAGCCCUGUGUGGGGCAGGAGAAAUCAGAAAAAAUCAAAUUCUACAAAGAACUUGAAAGAUGUUCUUUCAGGCUAGGCAUGGUGGCUUUUUCAGGUCACCUCUUCUGCAAGAAAGGCUCUUGGCAACUGGGUAAGUUUUCUUUGUUUGUUUUUCUUGCUUUUGGGUAUAGUCUAACAGGUGAGGAGUUGGAUGUAUUUUUCUCCCUACAGCUCUGUGCUUAAGCCUUGGCAGAGAGCAAGGCUGCCUACAAGCUGCACAGGUAGGUCAUUGUGUUGGAUUAUUUUUUCUUUCUGAGCCAGAGUCUCACUCUAUCACUCAGGCUGGAGUGCAGUGCUGCAGUCUCAGCUCACUGCAACCUCCACCUCCUGGGUUUAAGCAAUCCUCUGCCUCAGGCUCCUGAGUAGCUGGGAUUACAAGCAUGUGAAGCUAUGUCUGAUUAAUUAUGUAUUUUUAGUAGAGACAGACUUUCUCCAUGUUGGUCAGGCUGGUCUCGAACUCCUGACCUUAGGUGAUUCACCCACCUCAGCCUCCCAAAGUGCUGGAAUUGCAGGCAUGAGCCAUGUG
rnacentral:lncRNA from 13 species